GGAAUGUUUUGGAGACCUUUAUGUAGAUGAGAAAACAAGCUUUGGCCACUCCAGUCCAUCUCUGGUGGAUCUUAAUUAUUUGCAGCUACUUCCCAAGGGUAAAGGUAAAAAGCUUUAUUCUACCAGACUUCUCAUAGGCCACUCCUUUCUGUUGUCUCCUCUGUUCCAUUCUGGCCCCUUUGUUCAUUCAUUAGAAAUUCAGAACUUUUUUUUUUAAUACUUAUGAAGGUGCUGGGACAGUGGCCUCAAAUCAUUUUUGGAAUGAGAUGGAGAAUUUAAAAAAUGCAUUACUGGAAUCUCACUUCCAAGUAUAUAUCCAAAAGAACUGAACACAAGAUCUCAGAUACGUGUAUACCCAUGCUCAGAGCAGCAUUAUUCAUAAUAGGUAAAAGGUAGAAGCAACCUAAGUGUCCCUUGAUGGAAGAAUGGAUAAACAAAAUGUGCUACAAACAAUGUAAUACUGUUCAGCCUUAAGGGGGGAAAUGUAUCAACCUUGAGGACAUAUGCUAAGUGAAAUGAGCCAAUCACAAAGAGACACACACCGUGUGAUUCCACUUACAGAAGGUAUCUAGAAUACUUAAAUUCAUAGAGACAGAAAGUAGAAUGGUGGUUGCCAGGGGCAGGGGUGAGGGGAAAGUAGAGAGUUGUUCAAUGGAUAUAAAAUUUCAGUUUUGCAAUAUGAGUAAGUUCUAGAGAUUUGUUACACAACCAUGUGACUAUACUUAACACUACUGAACUAUACACUUAAAAAUGGCUGAUGGUAAUUUUUUUUAACCACAGUUUUUAAAAAAGUAUUUUAAUGCAUCACUGGGUGUCAGGAGACCUAAGUUCUGCUAGAGGCUCCAACGCUGACUUGUACAACCUUCGGCAAAGCACUCUCUGGAACUCAGGUGCAUACCCUCUCUCGGCUUCAGUUUCCACAUCUGCAAAUUGGAAGUUGAACCGCAUGGUCUUCAAGGUCCUUCCCAGGCGAAAGCCUGGUACCAAGUAGACCUAGCCAUUAAAGCAGCUUCCUGUGGGCGCGGUGCAGGGUUUUAACGGUCCCCCCU